rnacentral:other from 1 species
UUUCCCCUGCGGUGUUGGUGAUUGGCAGCACGUUCUUGAGCCAACAGAUAAAAAUAGGGAGCCCUUCCUUGGCACGGUGUGACGCCUUGUGUUGAGCAAGACGCCUAAAGUACCAACAGGGUGCCCACCUGGUGAAACCAGGUUCAAAACAAUCUGCCGACACGGCACCUUCGCGGGGGUUUU